rnacentral:rRNA from 1 species
UACGUAGGGUGCAAGCGUUGUUCGGAAUCACUGGGCGUAAAGGGCGCGUAGGCGGGUUUGUAAGUCGAUUGUGAAAUCCCAGGGCUUAACCCUGGAGCUGCAGUCGAAACUACAAGUCUUGAAUGUCUGAGAGGGUGGGAGAAUUCCUGGUGUAGUAGUGAAAUACGUAGAUAUCAGGAGGAACACCGAUGGCGAAGGCAGUGUUCUGGGCCAGUACUGACGCUGAGGAGCGAAAGCGUGGGGAGCAAACAGG